AAAGGAAUAGACGGGGGCCCGCACAAGCAGCGGAGCGUGUGGUUUAAUUCGAGGCUACACGAAGAACCUUACCUGGGUUUGACAUGCUAGUGGUAGUGACGCGAAAGCCGAACGACCCUUCGGGGAGCUAGCACAGGUGCUGCAUGGUUGUCGUCAGCUCGUGCCGUGAGGUGUUAGGUUAAGUCCUGCAACGAGCGCAACCCUUGUCGCUAGUUGUACUUUUCUAGCGAGACCGCCGGGGUAACUCGGAGGAAGGUGGGGAUGACGUCAAAUCAGCAUGGCCUUUAUAUCCAGGGCUACACACACGCUACAAUGGCCGGUACAAUGGGUUGCCAAGCCGCGAGGCGGAGCCAAUCCUAAAAAGCCGGUCUCAGUUCGGAUUGGAGGCUGCAACCCGCCUCCAUGAAGCUGGAGUUGCUAGUAACCGCAGGUCAGCUAUACUGCGGUGAAUACGUUCCCGGGCCUUGUACACACCGCCCGU
rnacentral:rRNA from 1 species